rnacentral:lncRNA from 1 species
AUACUACAUGUCCAGUGGGCCUGAGAGUCUCCCCUACAACGGCUGGAGGAAGUAAGAGAAAACCUUUGUCAGGUGUC